UAGACGGUAACUCGUUACAUUAUCAAAAUAUGCAGACUAACAAUUUAUAUUUUGUAAAUUAAAAAAUUGAAGGAACGGAAGUGCAACAAUAAAAAUUAAUAUACUUUGAUUUCUGAAAAAACCAAAGGGACUUGAAGCCAUAUCUUUCUGAAACCUAAAGAAACAAUCAAAACAUAGCAGUGUAGUAUCAGUAUCACAAGUGGAGUAUGGCGAGGGUAGAAUGUACACAACCUUACCUCUACCUUAUAGAGAAAGUGUAGAACUCAUCAUGAGCUAACUCUAACUCUCAAUAGCACUUUCAUGAACAACGAAAAUAUUCUUACAAAGUAAUACAAACGCAUUAAAAACAGAAUUAACAAUAAACUAAAUUAAGAAAAACUACUAAAGACUAUAGAACAACCAAGAAAUAAUAUAAUACUUAAAAAACUUGAUUGUCAUGAAGCACUCAUAUCUCUUAAAGAAAAAGGGAAGGAAGAAAAGUGUUAGAUUUAGAAGCAUACCUAGGAUUUCUGUGAGGUUGUUUGAACAAAAAAUGAAGUGCAAACAUUCACGGAAGAAGAAAAAAACUGUCGAGGUUAUAGAAGCAUACA
rnacentral:lncRNA from 1 species